rnacentral:lncRNA from 1 species
AAAAUACUACAAUAUUCAAACAUGUAAUUAUUUUUUUUUUAAAAAUGUUUUAUAUGCUAAAAAUGUAAUAAAAGUAUUAUGUUUUUUUUUUUUGCAAUAUUGCACACCCUUUCAGGAAAUUUCCAUGGCAGGCAGCCAAGCGAGUUUGGUUUCCAAAUACGAACAAACACCAACAAGAAAUUACGCCUAAUUACAGUGCUCUCUAAACGUAUUUGGAUUUCUUCAGUUUGUUCUUCUCAGUGUUUCUUUUGGUGAGUUUGAUUCAGAAAACUCGAAGGUUUUUUAAAGAAUAGAGAAGGAAAUAGAUAUGGGUAUGCUCAGAUAGCAGUUUUGGUGACCAAUUUUUCACGUCUGUGAAUUUUCAAGUAUCAAAUGGCGCUGUGUUCUAUUUACAAGUAUGGUUCAAAAGCUCAAGGGUUGGCGUUUCUUGCAUUUGGGUCCAUUUCCUUUUUGGUAUUUGUUUAUGUUGCUAUUGUCUCCAAGUUGCUUCCGCCAUUCGACAAUCCGAUCCUUGCAGCCAUUCAGAAUGACAGGUGACUUUCCCUUUGUUCAAUUUUAUCCAGUUUCUGUUAUUUAGUCAAAUUAGCUUAUGCCUGGCUGUAUUGAUAGCUAUUGGGAAUUAUUAUAAUGUAGUGCUUAGUGAAAUGCAAACUGUUAUUGAGCCUUAUCCGGAUUGUUUGUCGCUGUUUCACUUUAGAAACUGAUUGUUUAGAUAAAAUUAUCUCUAAAUUUAGGGAUUUGUAAGGAACUUGACACUGUGACAUUGUUUUGUAGAUCAUAAACUGAGUUGAGGUAUCGAGAUUUUAGAUAGUGUUUUGGGAUAAUAAAUGGGUUUGUUCACUUACUAUUUAUGAAUGUUCUUUUGCUGUCCACUGUGUUUGUUACUCUUGACAAAUUGUAUGAUUGGCCUGUUGGUAAUAGUUGUUCACAAAUUGUAUAGAUCAUAACUUACCGGUUUGGGAUCAUUUAUGCUCUAACUGCAGGGAUGUUGAUCCCACUCCCAUUUAAACUUAUUUUACUAGGAUCUCGUCUCCAUGAAACUUGCAUUCAUAUUUGUGACACUUCUGUCUGUUUAAUAAUUAUCUCGUCUCCCCUUUUUGAAAAAUAAAGAGAUUUUAUCUAGUUCAUUGGAAAGGUACUUUUUGGGAUUCUGCUUUUAAUCAUCAUGGAUAUAGAAAGAAGAUUACUUAGAAGCCGAUGCUGCUGGUCGAAAUGUAUUAUGCUUUCCAUACGACCUAUAGCUCUUCAGUAAGUUACAACUCGAACAUCUAACUGCUUGUGGUUUCAAUAAAAAAGUUAAUAUGCUUAAGAGGUUUACAACUACAUGGGUCUCUUCCAACCAGUUAACUGAAAGAUCAAUUUUGAAUAGAAACACUUCCAUUUUCUUACUUAUUCAUCACUCACAUUGAGCCGAAGCAUUGAUUUGGUAGUACCAGACCAGUACUUCUCAAUUCUGGAUGCUUACAUUCAUUGUUAAUGCAUUAGCCAGCUUGCAGCAUAAUAUUACGUACUGGUAUGAUGAUUUGGUAAAAGUUGAUUCGAUUAUGUUAUCUUAAUACUUUAGUUAUACAAGAGUCUUCAUUAACUGAAUUCGACUUCGUCAAUAAAAAGCGGUUAUGGCAUGAGUGGAAUUGUUAUUUGGAAAGGAGGAUUCUAUGAGAUAUCUUUCUGAUUUUGUGAUGGUUGUUAGUCUAAUAUAAUCACCGUGCUAUAAUCAAAAUCUUACUAAAUGCUUGAUGGGUUUUGUAGCUGGACUAUCUCAUGUUCAAUAGUUUACGAAUAUUCUUCUUCCCCUUAUCCCAAAUUAUCACGUUUGUGUUGGUAUAAAUAGCGCUUUUAGCCUGUGUUUGAGUUAUUUUGUAUUUCUGUUUCAGAUACUAUUGCUUUCUGGUUCCAUUAACGCUUCCCAUCCUUGUUGUUGCUAUAUAUUUCCACUGGCUCAGCAUGAAGAUCUUUAAGCAUGCAUAGCUCAGACGAGGUAUGGAGCUUUUGUGUAAUCUCACGAAGGAUCGUCAUCAAUUGGUUAGGUUUCUGAUUCCAAGUUGUUUACUUGAAACAUUUGACAUGAGUAGAAUGAGAUAAGUUUUCGUAGUAAUGACAAACGAAGAUACUUUCACUAUUAAAGUGUAGUUAUUUCAGCCCCUUUUGUGUUUCUGCAUUUCCCGGAACUUCAGAAGUUAAGAGGACAAAAUCGCGAGCUUCCUUCAAAUAAAUAAUUUGCAUAAAUCAAUACUUGCUUCUAUCCAAGAUUUUUGAUGAAGGAACCGCUUAUGAAGAAGACAUUUAGGCUACUAAAUCAUCUUAGGACAUUUAGACAUUUUAAGUUUUUUUUUAUCCUAAUUCAACAGUUCAGUUGUUUGUAAUUGGUAUGAACACAGAAUUUUGAAAUUGACUUGCUUAUAUAUAUUGAAGUAAUUGUAGGAAAAAAGCUGUCUUUGUUAAUCUUCUUCUUUUUGAGGGCUUGAUUAGCCUAUUAUCCCUGGUGGGAGCUAGCAGAUACCUUGUGAAAUUAGUUCUCGAGUUAUAAAAAAAUAUUAAGAAGGUAAAAUUGUAGACAAAAUGACACUGAAGUUUUACUCAAGUCACUUGCAAAUUCUGUUAACUCGAAUAUUAAUAGUUUGAAUUAACAAACUCUAGUGACUAGCUAAACAAUAUCAAAUAAUGCAAACAAUUUUCUAAGUAAAAAAAUUGAAAGUGUUCUCUUUUUUUUUUUCGAUAAAAAGUACAAUAUGAUCCACUAAAGUUUUUGCUAUGCGCGAGAUUUAGAGAAGAGUCGAACCAAAAAGGUCAUUGUACAUAGUUUUGGAUGACAAGAAAAAAGAACACUUUUUUGAAGCAUUAUAGACUGUAUUGACAACUAAAAGAAGGUUGUUGGUCAACUUUUAAAGGGGAGAGCCUUAGCGCAGCAAUAAGAGUCUAUCAGUAUAUUGAAUGUUACGAGUUUAAGGUGUAAAAAUAAUCUUGGAGAAAUAUUAUUCUGAAAUUUUGCUAAAAGUAGUCGAACGAAUAAAGUCAGGGAAAAUUUAUGAAGUUAUUUUGAUGAAUUUUGAAUAUAUAAUAGUUCAGAAUCGUAUCUCUUUAGAGUUUCUAAAAAAAACAUUCUAUAUAUGUUUAAAGUACUUAUAAAGCAGACAUAUUUGGUUCCCUUUUUCCUAGUGUGGAUAUGGAGAUUAUUAAGGGAAUAUGAAAGAGUUGGUCAUACCACAUGCUUCGAACUCAUUGCUUUUGUCUCGAACUAUGUGUAUAUAUAUAAAAAAAUAGAUUUUAAAUGUAAACAUAUAAUAUAAGGAC